rnacentral:rRNA from 1 species
CCUACGGGAGGCUGCAGUAGGGAAUCUUCCACAAUGGGCGAAAGCCUGAUGGAGCAACGCCGCGUGGGUGAAGAAGGUCUUCGGAUCGUAAAACCCUGUUGUUAGAGAAGAAAGUGCGUGAGAGUAACUGUUCACGUUUCGACGGUAUCUAACCAGAAAGCCACGGCUAACUACGUGCCAGCAGCCGCGGCAAUACGUAGGUGGCAAGCGUUAUCCGGAUUUAUUGGGCGUAAAGGGAACGCAGGCGGUCUUUUAAGUCUGAUGUGAAAGCCUUCGGCUUAACCGGAGUAGUGCAUUGGAAACUGGGAGACUUGAGUGCAGAAGAGGAGAGUGGAACUCCAUGUGUAGCGGUGAAAUGCGUAGAUAUAUGGAAGAACACCAGUGGCGAAAGCGGCUUUCUGGUCUGUAACUGACGCUGAGGUUCGAAAGCGUGGGUAGCAAACAGGAUUAGAUACCCCAGUAGUC